UUUACUCCUCUGUCUUGUAACUGAGAGCACCUCAGAGCCAGGUAUUAAGUCUUGCCAGGUACUAAGUCUUUCUUCUGUUUUUUUUGUCCAACAUGCGACUGGGCUGAAAGGGCCUCAGUGAAUUUGUGGAGAGUUGAGUGGUUUUAGGUACAGCUGGAAACAGCAGGUUGGGAAAAACUAGAUUGUGCCGGUCCCAUGAAUGUUAGCUGAGAAGUUUGUAUUUCAUUUCUUGGGAAGCAAGUGUUUAUCAAAGGUUGUUUAUUUAUUUGAGAUGGAGCCUCACGCUGUUGCCCAGGCUGCAGUGCAGUGGCGCGAUCUCGGCUCACUGCAACCUCCACCUCCGGGUUCACGCAGUUCUCCUGCCUCAGCCUCCCAAGUAGCUGGGAUUACAGGUGUGCACCACCACACCUGGCUAAUUUUUGUAUUUUUAGCAGAGACAGGGAUUUGUCAUGUUGGCCAGGCUGGUCUAGAACUCCUAACCUCAAGUGAUCUGCCCGAGUCAGCCUCUCAAAGUGCUGGGAUUAUAGGCGUGAGCCACUGCACCUGGCCAAUCAGGCUUUUGUGACACUGCCAGAACUGUGUUUGAGGAAGAUUAGACUGACCUUGUAUGCUAAGAAUUCCCAGGAAAAAAAAAAUGGAGAUUGUUUAGGAAUCUAUUCAGGGAGAUUGUUUAGGAAUCUAUUUUAUGGAUGACAAAGGUCUGAAUUACGGUGGUGGCCAUAGAAAUGGAGUGGGUAGGGCCAGUGUGGGAGAAGUCUCAUGGGAAGAAUGGGUAACAGUCUGUGCUCAUCUGGGUUUGAGGAGUGAAAGAAAGAGGUGUGGAAAAUACAUAAAGAGGGAAGUCGGGUUAUACAAAGGAGAGGAGAAAAAUAAAGGAGGUUAUACCAAAGGAGAGGAGAAAAAAUAAAGAGUUCCGUUUUAGAUGGGCUUAAUUGGGAGUUAUGCUGAGUUGUCCAUAUAGACCUUUCAGUGGUAUGGGCCGUGUUCAUGCCUGUAAUCCCAACACUUUGAGCAGCCAAGGCGGACGAUCACUUGAGCUCAGGAAUUCAGGACCAGCCUGGGUAACAUGGCAAAACCCCAUCUCUACAAAAAGUACGAAAAUUCUCUGGGCGUGAUGGUGUGUGCUUGUAGUCCCAGCUACCCAAGAGGCUGACAUGAAACAAUCGCUUGAGCUCAGGCGAUCGGGGGAGGUCAAGGCUGUAGUGAGCCAUGAUUGUGCCACUGCAUUCUGACAUGGGUGACAGAGCAAGAUAUGUCUCAUUUAAGGGGGGAAAAAAGGAACUGUGGGAUUGAAACUCAGGCCAGGGCGGAAGUCACCUCUGUAGAGGGGGAGAGUUGAGACCAUGAGCAAUAAACUGGAAUCACAGAUUGUCAGGCUCCCUCCCACAUCUGGAAUUCAGUUUCCUCCACAUCCCUCCCAAGUCCUCAUCUCCACAGAAGAGGAACUCGCUACCUCCCAAGCCUUCUACUUGGGCCAUCCCAAACAACUUGACUGCUAGAAAAGCCUCACAUUUGGCCCAGUGCAGUGGCUCAUGCCUGUAAUUCCACCCCUCUGGAAGGCCAAGGUGGGAGGAUCGCUUGAGCCCAGGAGUUCAAUACCAGCCUGGGCAACACAGGAGACCCUGUCUACAAAUAAUAAAAAUUAGCCAAGCAUGGUGGUAUGUGCCAGUGGUCCCAGUUACUCAGGAAGCUAAGGCAGGAGAAUUGAGCCUGGGAGUUUGAGGCUGCAGUGAGCUGUGUUUGCACCACUGCACCCCAGUCUGGGUGACAGAAUGAGACCUUAUCUCAAAGGAAAAAAACAUAAAAAGCCUCACACUCAGCUCCUAUCUGCCUCUCUCUAAGGAAAUACCAAGGUAAUUAACAACAGUCUUAUUGGCUGCUGUAUGAAGCACUGUGUGGUAGGCAUUGAUUUUACUUGGUGUUUUGCAAGUGAAACUUAUAUUAAACAAGCAGGGUUUCCACAGUCAAGAAGUAGAAUUCAAUCAUG
rnacentral:lncRNA from 1 species